rnacentral:rRNA from 1 species
AAGACCUUACGCUUUUGGAGCGGCCGAUGCCUGAUUAGCUUGUUGGUAAGGUAAAAGCUUACCAAGGCUUCGAUCAGUAGCUGGUCUGAGAGGACGGCCAGCCACACUGGGACUGAGACACGGCCCAGACUCCUACGGGAGGCAGCAGUGGGGAAUUUUGGACAAUGGGGGCAACCCUGAUCCAGCCAUGCCGCGUGAGUGAAGAAGGCCUUCGGGUUGUAAAGCUCUUUCAGCCGGAACGAAACGGUUACGGUUAAUACCCGUGAUUACUGACGGUACCGGAAGAAGAAGCACCGGCUAACUACGUGCCAGCAGCCGCGGUAAUACGUAGGGUGCGAGCGUUAAUCGGAAUUACUGGGCGUAAAGCGUGCGCAGGUGGUUUUGUAAGUCAGAUGUGAAAGCCCCGGGCUCAACCUGGGAACU